UAAGCCAUUUUAGAGGGGUUUCACCCAAAAUUUUAAGACACCAUAGGGGUAAUAAGGGGAUUUCAGCCUACAUAUUGAAUGCUUCCGUUUCUAAUGAUUCAUGUUCUGGUUCCUCAUCGGCCAUUAUGAAAGAAAACCAUAAGACAGAAAUCCUACCUUCAUCGGCCGUGAAACCAUCCAUCAUCUAUCCGGCCACUUUUUCUGAUUCCGAUGGCUCUGCAUAUCGCCAAACGCCUCCUCCGUACCCGCGCCACAACCCCUGUCGUCGCGCUUUUCUCAGCCGUUGAUCGGAGCUUUUCCUCCACCUCUUCCGAUCUGAUUCGCGCCAUUCUCUUUCCCUGCGACGGCAUCGGUCCAAAGAUCGCUGAAUCCGUCAAACAGGUUCUAGGUCUUGAAACUGAAAUCGGAAUGUUGAAAUCGCUAGAUCUUCAGUCACUGGCUAGGCUUCCAUGGGUGAGGUUGUGAUGUAUGUUUCUUGCUAAUUAACGUUACAUAUAGUUGGUUUGGUAUUUGUUUGGUUUGAUUUGAAUUGAUAGAUAUGUGCUUGUUUUCUCAGUCACUCGGAUUAAAAUGCAGAUUGGAGCAUGGCACCAGACCAGAGUGUCGUUUAGUGUUGCUAGGACUGGUGAAAACGCGAUACCAUCACCAGCAGAUUUACGUACAUCUGCCAAUUUCUUGGCUAGAUCAUAAUAUUCAUUUUGUUUUAACAAUUGACUAACACCAGCCAGGCUCUCCGAAGCCGGAAAGCUUACAUCCGAACGUGUCUGCGGCUGUAAAUGGUGUCGCUCUUGUUGGAACCCUAUCUGACCAAUUGUUCUUCGGGUGGCUCGGUGAUAAACUGGGUAAGCAGAAGGUUUACGGCAUCCGACCAAUCAUCUUUUACUUUCAUUCUUGAUGAUCCUACUGGCAACAUCUUUUACUCUUUCCUGUCACACCGUUGCAUUUGAUAAGACUAGGACAUUGAGGACAGGGGAGUUUAUGUGCAAAGCGAUUGAGCCCAUACACGGACAUGAAGCUACUGCUUUUUGUUGCGUUACGACGUGUGAGAAAGAAGCUCUUGCUGUUGCUGCUGCUAUGGAAAAAGGCACCACCCACCCGAUCGGAAGUCAAUGUCUACUUGAUCUUUAUCAGGGUAAUAUGUGAUCUUCAGUCUUCUAAUGGUAUACACCCUUCCCUUAAUAGAGUAUGGGUGUAAAUGCGCCGAGCUACUCAAACUUGGCUCGAAAACAAGCUUGAAACGAGCCGAGCUUAAACGAGCUCGAGUGCAAACCUAAAAACAAGCUCGUUAUGUGUUCACACAGGACCAGCAAGUGAUGGAGCUCUAUUUGUAUUGCGAUUUCUCUAAAGAAAAUAUGAUUUCAAGUCAGAUGAGGAGAGCCAAAUUGCGUACUUAACUUUAGCGAGCCAAUGAGUGAGUUGCCAUAAUUCUCAAAAUUAUGCUACAGAUGCAGUGAGAGAAGCCUUUUUUAUGCAAGAUUCGUUCGAAGAUAACAAGUCAAAGAUUCUUAUGAUAUUAUGUGCAAGCCCGGAUCCAAAGGAAAUGCAUAAGACAAUAUCGACAUUGGAAUACGGUGCAAAAGCCAAAUGCAUCGUGCGUGGGCCUCAUACGCCAAUUAAGGGAGACGGUUCAUCUUCGUCAGAUGUGAUGUUGGGUUUGAGAAUCGCGACUACUUAGGUGAGUUCGUUCAGAUUUUACGGUAACAUUACUGGUUUACGGUAACAUAACGGUUUCAUACAAUGGAUAAUGUCAGACUUAAGUAAAAAACUGUCGACGGUAACAUUACUGGUCCAGUUGAGCGUUCUUGAGAUGCUUACAUUAGGGCAAACCAUGUCGGCCACUAUGUGAGUUCGGCCAGAUUUAAAGAACAAUUCAUUCUUUUGAAAAAGCUGAUUGGCCAAGGCUUAAUGUCCUUUUUGAUAAAAGUUUUCAUCAUUUGCUUUAGACGAAGGAAGAGAGGGUUCAAAAUUUGUAUCUUACCAAGUUUUAUCUGAGUUUCAUGGUAGAGAUAAAUGGACGUAUAUCAUUGAAGUAUAUUAUUUGAGAACGGGAUUGGAUCGAAGUAUAUGGACAUGUACAAAUUUAUGCUCCCUAAUAUCAUUUAUGACAAUAACG